UUAUGAAUGGGGUAUUUAAAGCAACAGUGAGUGAGUUACAGAGCUCUUUGAAUUUAUCUUGCACCGGGGAGCAGGUCAUAAUUUUAUACUAUCUCUGCUUUAAUACAAUUGCACUUUGAUGAAGCCUAGUGGGAAAAACUUGGCAGGGGGAAUUAGGCAGCAGACUUCUACUUAACAACAGAACAGUAUUUCAGACAAAAUGUAAAACCACCUGGAUUCAGCAGGUGUGCAAAUGUUUGAACUAUU